rnacentral:rRNA from 1 species
GGCUCAGGAUGAACGCUAGCGACAGGCCUAACACAUGCAAGUCGAGGGCAGCGCGGAGCAAGCUUGUCUUUCCGUGGCGGCGACCGGCGCGACGGGUGCGUAACAGGUGUGCAAUCUGUCCUAUACCAGAGCAUAGCCCAGCGAAAGUUGGAUUAAUUCUCUAUGUGAGCCGAGAGGGCAUCCUUUUGGUUUGAAACGUGAGGGUAUAGGGUGAGCACGCUUCUGAUUAGCUAGUUGGUGAGGUAACGGCUCACCAAGGCGACGAUCAGUAGCCGGCCUGAGAGGGUGAACGGCCACAUUGGGACUGAGACACGGCCCAAACUCCUACGGGAGGCAGCAGUGGGGAAUAUUGCACAAUGGGGGAAACCCUGAUGCAGCGACGCCGCGUGAGUGAAGAAGUAUUUCGGUAUGUAAAGCUCUAUCAGCAGGGAAGAAAAUGACGGUACCUGACUAAGAAGCUCCGGCUAAAUACGUG